CCGUAUGAAUAAGCAUCGGCUAACUCCGUGCCAGCAGCCGCGGUAAUACGGAGGAUGCAAGCGUUAUCCGGAUUCAUUGGGUUUAAAGGGUGCGUAGGCGGAUUGGUAAGUCAGUGGUGAAAUCCUCUCGCUUAACGGGAGAAUUGCCGUUGAUACUAUCAAUCUUGAGUACACUUGAAGUGGGCGGAAUGUGUCAUGUAGCGGUGAAAUGCAUAGAUAUGACACAGAACACCGAUUGCGAAGGCAGCUCACUAAAUUGUAACUGACGCUGAGGCACGAAAGCGUGGGGAGCAAACAGGAUUAGAUACCCUGGUAGUCCACGCUGUAAACGAUGAUCACUAGCUGUUGGCGAUACACUGUCAGCGGCUGAGCGAAAGUAUUAAGUGAUCCACCUGGGGAGUACGAUCGCAAGGUUGAAACUCAAAGGAAUUGACGGGGGCCCGCACAAGCGGAGGAGCAUGUGGUUUAAUUCGAUGAUACGCGAGGAACCUCACCUAGGCUUAAAUGCUUUUUGACCGUCCUGGAAACAGGAUUUCCCUUCGGGGCAAAUUGCAAGGUGCUGCAUGGUUGUCGUCAGCUCGUGCCGUGAGGUGUCGGGUUAAGUCCCAUAACGAGCGCAACCCCUAUUCUUAGUUGCCAUCAGGUAAUGCUGGGAACUCUAAGGAAACUGCCUACGCAAGUAGUGAGGAAGGUGGGGAUGACGUCAAAUCAGCACGGCCCUUACGCCUAGGGCUACACACGUGCUACAAUGGCCAGCAUAGUGGGUUGCUACCUGGUAACAGGACGCUAAUCUCUAAAUCUGGUCUCAGUUCGGAUUGAAGUCUGCAACUCGACUUCAUGAAGUUGGAUUCGCUA
rnacentral:rRNA from 1 species